rnacentral:lncRNA from 1 species
AAUUGCUUGACCUCCCCGGACCUCAGUACUCUCUCUGGAAAUAGGGAUGAUAAGAUAUUAACCAUACGUGUUGAAGCCAGAUAUGAAACUCCUCUGGCCCCGGGAGCAAGGAGGUAGGUCUCAGCCCACCCCUCACCACCGCCUAGUGGGUGGGGGACACUCACAGAAAAGCACCAUGAGGAAGCGGGUCUGGUUCAGCAUGUGGGUCAGGCCGGCAGGUGUGAGCACCAGCAGGUUGCGUUCCACCAGGAUGUGCAAGGGCUGGGACGUGUUGAUGCUGGCCUCCUUGACAUCCACCUCUCGUGAGCCCUGGACAGUGGAGGUACAAGAGGCCACCAGCAGCAGAGACAUCUGGAGCCACUCCAUGGCUGUCCUGCAGGGGCAGGAGGAAGGACAGGAGAUCUGAGAGUUACCCAGGCAGUAUUUCCCUGAGGACAAGAUUUGAAAAAUCCUUUCUGUAAAGAGCCAAUCUUUCCUGGGAAAAAAGCUUUUAUAAUGCUUUCCCCAAGUGAUUAGUUUUUGCAAAGGUCACUCUGGAAGGCCUGCCGGUUUUUGAGAACUCAUUUUGAUUUAAACUGUGUAUUGGAAGGAAUCAAAUAUUCAAAUGUAAUGAGUUUGAGUGUCUCUUCUAGAUAACAAAAACGCUGUGGGUGUUCACUGCUUUGAAAUACCCUCUGGUUGGAAUGCUUUAAGUUCAUAGAAUUCAAAUGGGUGGUUAUCAAAUGCAAUUAAAGAAUGUAGAAUUGAGAGGCUCCCUGUGCAUCCCCAGGUUCAAUCAGCAUCAAUCCCUAACUUAUAAGACGUCAGUUAAAGCCCCAAAGAGCCAGGAACUUGCCCUUCUGCCCGGAUUAAAACAGAGUAAUCAUUGGUCAGUCUCGCAUUCUCAUGCAGACGGGACAGGUUCCCAGUCUUGUCCACCUGCUGUGCCAUUUUUGGAAGGCUAAAUGUGUGUGGAGACGUGGGUUGUGUUGUGCAAAGUGCGUGGCUCUAAAUCUUUCAACACCCCCAUUGGGUCCAGGAUUCAGAGAUUAGGGCUGCAGCAAAAAAGAGCAGGUGGCUUAGAUGUCUGACCUGUGCACAUCCUUAGCUUACAAUUCCACCGCAGGCGGAGGAGGGCUGCAGGGUUCUCACUUCUUCCCUGAGAAGAGAGCCAUGAAGCAGAUGCUCAGGUGGUGGCCCGAGUCCUGGUGUGGAUGGGGGCUGUGGGGAACCAGCUGGAGGAAUCAUUCAGCAAAGCAGAAUGCCUGCCCUUCUCACAGACUCGCGUAAAGAAAAUGGCCCAAACUUGAUCUCUCCUGCAAGGUCUUGCUCCAUGGGCUUGAAGUAAAUCUGAGCACAUCCCCUGGCACUUAGGUCAAAGGAAACCAUGAACAGCCUGGGCUAGACAGAGGUCGGAGGCUUGCAAC